rnacentral:rRNA from 1 species
GGGUUGUGAGGUUAAGCGACUAAGCGUACACGGUGGAUGCCCUGGCAGUCAGAGGCGAUGAAGGACGUGCUAAUCUGCGAUAAGCGCCGGUAAGGUGAUAUGAACCGUUAUAACCGGCGAUACCCGAAUGGGGAAACCCAGUGUGACUCGUCACACUAUCAUUAACUGAAUCCAUAGGUUAAUGAGGCGAACCGGGGGAACUGAAACAUCUAAGUACCCCGAGGAAAAGAAAUCAACCGAGAUUCCCCCAGUAGCGGCGAGCGAACGGGGAGGAGCCCAGAGCCUGAAUCAGCAUGUGUGUUAGUGGAAGCGUCUGGAAAGGCGCGCGAUACAGGGUGACAGCCCCGUACACAAAAGCGCAUGUGCUGUGAGCUCGAUGAGUAGGGCGGGACACGUGGUAUCCUGUCUGAAUAUGGGGGGACCAUCCUCCAAGGCUAAAUACUCCUGACUGACCGAUAGUGAACCAGUACCGUGAGGGAAAGGCGAAAAGAACCCCGGCGAGGGGAGUGAAAAAGAACCUGAAACCGUGUACGUACAAGCAGUGGGAGCACCCUUUGGGGUGUGACUGCGUACCUUUUGUAUAAUGGGUCAGCGACUUAUAUUCUGUAGCAAGGUUAACCGAAUAGGGGAGCCGCAGGGAAACCGAGUCUUAAUUGGGCGUUAAGUUGCAGGGUAUAGACCCGAAACCCGGUGAUCUAGCCAUGGGCAGGUUGAAGGUUGGGUAACACUAACUGGAGGACCGAACCGACUAAUGUUGAAAAAUUAGCGGAUGACCUGUGGCUGGGGGUGAAAGGCCAAUCAAACCGGGAGAUAGCUGGUUCUCCCCGAAAGCUAUUUAGGUAGCGCCUCGUGAAUUCAUCUCCGGGGGUAGAGCACUGUUUCGGCUAGGGGGCCAUCCCGGCUUACCAACCCGAUGCAAACUGCGAAUACCGGAGAAUGUUAUCACGGGAGACACACGGCGGGUGCUAACGUCCGUCGUGAAGAGGGAAACAACCCAGACCGCCAGCUAAGGUCCCAAAGUCAUGGUUAAGUGGGAAACGAUGUGGGAAGGCCCAGACAGCCAGGAUGUUGGCUUAGAAGCAGCCAUCAUUUAAAGAAAGCGUAAUAGCUCACUGGUCGAGUCGGCCUGCGCGGAAGAUGUAACGGGGCUAAACCAUGCACCGAAGCUGCGGCAGCGA